rnacentral:lncRNA from 1 species
UUCUCUAUAUAAGUGUAGAUCUCUUCUUUGUCUCCUUACUCUGUCUUCUCUCUCUUUCUCUCUCUCUCUCUCUGUAAAGUCCUAUUAGCUUGUUUGCAAGAAAGGGCAGCUGAAACUUGAAGAAAAAAAGGUGAAAUGGGUUAUGCCUGGCUCCCUGUAUGCCACAAGCUAGAGUUCAAUCCCAUCAGUGGACUGGCUGUCGCCGGUGGCGUGCGAGGAGCCAAGCAUACUCUCUCUCUCUUCUCUUUAGUUUCAUGUUUCUCUCUAAUUAGUUUAAUGAUUUCUUUCUGUUCAUUAACAUCAUAUCUAUUAUGUUCUUGGUACUCUUACGGCUAGCCAAUUCUCCUCAGAACUUCCAAGAAUCCUGAAAGCCUGGCAUGCUUCAGUUGUUCCAAUCUACAUAUAUAAAAACUUGCCUAAAUCGAGUGAAACAUAUAUAUAUAUAAUUGCAAAGCUGCGAAAAUUUUCUUUUUCUAUGAUAAAGCAAUAGCUACUUAAUAAGAAAAGAGUAAUUUACGUAUUAUUGGAAGUAGGUAAUGCUAGGUAUUCCUGUUUCUUUCAUUACGUCAGCUUUUAGGUCAUUUCUCUGAUUUUGAAUUCUCUUUGGCUCCAAAAUUCAACAUAUAAUGUAUACAUUUUGAUUCUUUAAACAACGUGGUAUGAGAAUUUUAUAAAUUUGACUUAUUUAAAUUUACGUUAAAUAUACGAUUUUUUACUAAAAUAAAAAAAUAGAUCUUUUUAAAUUGAGAUUUAAACUCAAUAUUACUAAUCAUGAUACAAAACAAUUAAUUUUAAAUUUUACGACAAAUUUAAACCGAUCUUAAUUUUCAUUAUCGACGUCCGAUGAAAAUUCACAAUAAUUUUUUAAAAAAUAAAUUUCGAGAUGUACGAAUGAGCCCACAGAUUUGUCAUAAAAUUUAAGACAAAAGUUUCACCAUUUAGUGAGAUAAUUUUGCUCAUUAGAAUUUUUUCUAUUAUAAAUAAUUUUUUUCUUAAUUAUUUGAAAUCCACUUCUCAAUUUUUUAAGAAUUUUAAUAAAAUUUUUCAAUUUUCAACCUCUCAUUUUUUUAUAUUAUUUUAGUCAAACGAUAUUAAUUAAAAUUUUUAACGGAAUCUAAUCAAUCUUUUAUCAAAUCAGCUAUGAUAUAUUUUUUAAAAAAAUAUUUUGCAUCAAAUUAUUAGUAUCAAAAUUUGUUGAUAUGAAUUUUUUAAAAUAAGGUAUGAGUUCUGAGAUAAUUUACUUUUUCUUUUAGCAUUGUUAAUUUAAGAUAUUAAUUUAUUGAAAAAAAGAUUUUGAGGUUUCAAGACGUUCAAAGUUUCAGAUUCUCAACAAUUCAAAUUAAUGAAUUAUGAAAGUUUUAGUAAGUAAUAAUUUUUUUAUUAAUCAUGGUACGAUUAAUAAAUUUUAAAGAUUUUAUAUUUGUUUUUAUUUAAUAUUAAAACAUAUUUAAAAUGUUUAUAAAAUUCUUAUACCACAAAAAAAAUCUUAUAUAAAAUAUGUUAAAGAUAUUAUUAAAUUUGAUUGUAAUUUAAUUUAUAAUAUAUAUUAGCCUUCAUAAUUUCAAAAUAAUAUGAUAAAGAGUUUCAAAUUACUAUUAAAAAAACAUACACUUUUUAAAAAAUAAAAGAAAUUUUAAUUUUAUAGUAAUUAUCAUUUUUUAAAUUAUAGUAAUAUAUAAAUUAAUUAGUAUAUUUUAUUUUAUUUUUAAGAAAUUUUUUAAAAUAUCUUUAAUAUUUAAUAAAAUUUAAUAAAUUUAAAAUAAAUAUAAUUAAAAAAUUAAUGAAAAAUUAUAUUUUUUAAUAUAUAUUAAAAAAUAAAAUAAAUCAAGAGAAAAAAUAUAGAACUGUAAGUAAAAAGGAAAAGUUGAUAUUUAAAAAUUAAUCAGUUGUAAAUUAAAUAUCAUAGAAAUUAUUAAAAAAAUUAAAAAGAAAAACUUUUCAUAGACUAAAAGGAAAUUUAAAUAGAAAAGAAAUUAAAACAAGCUAGAAUUGCCCAUUAUUUACAAAUUUCAAUAUUUUCUAAAUGUCUUAAUAAAAAAAUAGAUUUCAUAAUUUAGUUAUAUUUUAAAAUUUAGUUGUAAUUAUAUUUAAUUGUUCAAAAUUAAACACUAUAAAAGACAAAAAAAAAAAAUUGUUGAAAAAUGUUGUCGGCAAUUAUCAUUGUUUUAUCAACGUUAUAAAACAAAUUGAAAAAAAAAAAAAUAUGAAAACAAUUAUCGAAUUGAUAUUAGCAACGACUUACCGAUAAUUGAAGGUCACAUGACCUUACCUAACAGACAAUGAAAGAAAAACAUAGAUUUAGUAAAACUAUAGAAUUUAAAAUUUUUUCUUAAUAUCUAUAAUUUCAUAUUCAACAUUCAAACAUUAAUAUAAAAAAAUUAUCAUGUAAAAAUUUUAGCUAUAGUUGAUAGAGAAAGUACGAAAUUAAUUAUUCAAAAGUAAAUUUAGGAUUUUAUAUCUUAUUAUGCAUAUUUAAUUUUUGAUCGGUAAAUUUUAAAUCUCAAAAAGUUGACUUUCUGACAUAUAUAUCUAUACGAAUCGAUUUCGACACGAUUCAUUAUUCAGGAUUGAAAUUCAAUAUUUUAAAAUUUUUUUUAAAUAUAAAAAAUAAUAGAAUAAUAAUAAAAAAAGGAUUUUCUCUCGACAAAUAAGAACUUAAAGUGAAAGAAGAAUUAGAGAGAAUUAAGAAGCUCUCUAAUUACUGGUGAGGAGGACAUGGAGCCAUGACUCUCACUCCCUCCAUCACCUCUUUUUCCCUUAAUAUAAACUUGGGUGGUUGGAUAGUGGUUAGAUAUUUUAAAUCCCUAAUCCUUAAAACCUUUUCAAAAUAACCAUAUAAUAUUAUUUUAGGGUAACGUGACUUUUUCAUGUAUAAUAGGCAUAUAUUAAUUUUUUAAUUUAAUUAAAUAAAUUAAUGUUUAUUAAUUUAACUAAUCUCAAUUAAUUUAAUUAAUUAAUAUUUAUUAAUUAUUAUUAACGAAUUAUUAGUCUUGACCAACAUUUGGUCUUGACCCUAAUAUGAUAUUUUACUAUUAGAUAAUUCAAAUACAUGUGGAAUGAGAGUUCGAUCUAUGUCUUAAAAAUAUUAAUUGAAUUAAUUAUUCUCUUAUUAAUUAAUCAUAUUUAUUGGACAUGGCUAGACUAAUAUUUGAUCUUGGACUUAUUAAGAGAAUAUGAUUUAAUUUUUUAAUUUCGUUUAAAUAUAUUUAAAAUUUAUAUCACAUUAAAUCAAGUUCGUAUUAAAUGUGACCUAAUAAAUUGUUUUGGCCUUUUUUUCAAGCUUAUAUCGUACAUAACUUUAAUUUAUCACAUGGUUUAUCUUAUUUUUAAGAUUCAUGAGCUAUAUGGAUAAAAUUAAUCACUUGAAUUGAUUAUCUCCCUUAAUUUCAUUUUAACUAAUCAACGAUUGAAUUUAGUUCAACUCAUAGCAAGAGACUUGCAACUUGUGUUGCUAAUUAAAUUUAUUAAUUAAUAUAAUUAGUUAAACAUAAUUAAUUAAUUAAUUAAUAUUGUCGAGAUUAUUUAUAACUUUCUACGUUCAUAAUCGAUUGACAAUGGGAAUGAAAAUGACAUUUUCACAUACUUUAAUAUCUCAUGUAUUUUUGAUUCCAAAUAUGGUUAGUGUCUAGUAUAAUACGCUAUGGCUACCCAAUAGAGAAUGAAUGUAUUCUUUCAUUUAAUUCAAACUACGAUCAUAAAUCAUGAUGGCGUAAGAUCCUUACGUUACAAAAUAUCAAAGUUAAGAUCAUGAUAAUAUCAAAAUCCAAUAUUAUAUAUCAUAUGAUCAUUAUUUAAUUUCAAUUCUUAAUCCGUAAGACUUGCAUUAGAAACCUUUUUUAAUUAAGUCAUAUUAUCACAACUAAAGACUUAUUAUAAAAAUUAAUUAAUUCGAUAAUAGGAUUUGACCUAUUUACCUAGAGUAACAAACCAUAUAUUGAUUGACUUCUCAUCUCCAUACACAAUUAAAUUGAGUUAACACUCGUUAUAUAUCCAUAUAUGGUAUAAGUAUGUAAAUGAUAUCAAAUUCAAACUACUUAUACAUGAGACAAGUACAGUCUUAGUACUACUAGUCUAUCUAAGUACUACUAAUUCGAUUCACUCAUCACCAUGAAUGCUCACGUAUUUACCUAAACAUUACAUAUCUUAUGAUAUGAGACUUUCCGGUCUAUUAUCAUUAAUAGUAUUAUAUUGAUCAAUAAUGACAUAUAGAAUUUAUUCUGGAUGAAUCAUUUACGACGAGACAUCUUACAACUGUCAACAUUUUAUAGCAUUUUGUAUAGUCAUCAUAUUCUUAACUCCUUGAAAAUGAAAUAACUAAAUAUUAGUUACAUGUGUAGAAGUGAUUGUGAUCAAGCUAAAUUAGUUGGGUACUCAGACUUCCGUUAAUAAUCUACAAAGAUUUUUGGAAACUUCACUAUUUAGUUUCUAAAAGUUAUUGUUAAUAUUAUUUUGUUACUUUAUUUUAGAAAUUAGAUUAUUUCAUCACUUGUUUUUCUUUCUUUGCACAUUUAAAUCUUUUUCUACAUUUUGAAAAUAGUAUUUUAAGAUAAAUUAUUAUUAAGCUUUAUAUAUUGUGAUUAUUUACAAUUUCAUCUUUAAUUCUACAAUUAUUUUACCAUUAUAGUUUUAUUUCUUUGUUUCACCUUUCUAGAGAGAUAUAGAAAGAGGAAGACAGACAGAGAAAAAAGAAAGUAUGGAAAUAAAAAAAAAAGAAAGUAUGGAAAUAAAAUUGUAAUAAGUAGAAAGUUAGGAGUCAUAAUUUUAAUAAAAAUAUUAAGAUAAUUAUAAAAAAUUACUAUGUAUUUAGUGUCUUUUUUAAAUAGAGCUCUAUGAUUUAAUCUGUUACAAAAAAAACAAUGUGGUUUCACAGUAAAGUGAGAUUUUUCUCACUAAUACCAUUAAUACAUACUAGUAGGAGUAAGCAGUAUUCGGUUCAAACCGAAAAAACUGACCGAAUCAAAUUAAUUUCAAAAUUCGAUUUGAUUUUUUAUUCAAUUCAGUUCGGUUCGGUUUUUAAUUUCAAAAAUUUCAUUUAUUUUAGUUCGGUUCGGUUUUAAUCAGAAAAAAAUCAAAAAAAUCGAAUCGAACCGAUUAAUGAUAGUAAUAUGUUAUUUUCAAUAAUAUAGAGAAAUUAAAUUAUAUUAAUAUUAAAAUAUUCUAAUUAAAUUUUAAAAUAUUAAAAAUAAAGUGUAAAAAAUAAAAAAUUUAUUAAAAAUCAAAAUCGAUCAAACCGAACUGAAUCGAACCGAAUCAGACCGGUUCGGUUCGAUUCGGUUUCUGAUCAAAAUAAGUUCGGUUCGGGUUUUAUAAAUACUAAUUUCAGUUUUCGAUUUAUUCGAUUCGGUUCAAUUUUAAACGAAUGCUCACCCCUACAUACUGGCAAAGCAUUUGAAAAUCAAUUAAAAUAAUCUUUAAUUAGAAUAAAAUACAUUUUAAUCUUAAAGUUUUAUAAAAUAAAUGAUUUAAUUUAUAUAUUUUUAAAAUUAGUUAUAAAGUUUUAUUUUAUAAUAAAAUAGUUUUUUAUUAUAAUUCAUCCUUAUAUAAUGACAAAUUGAUUUUUAAAUAUUAUAACUACUUACAAAUUAGUACUUAUACUUUUUAUAAUUUAAUUUUUUAUAUUUAUUAAAUUUAAUAUCUUAUAUUCGAUAAAUUAAUAAAUAAAAAUUAAAUCAAGAAUAUUGAUAUAAUAUGCAUUUAAAUUAAAACUUAAAGAAUACUCCGCCAUUUAACUUUUUACUUCUCUAUUAUCUAAUUAUCUUUUUAUUUAAUUAAGAUAAAAAAAGGAAAUGACAUAUUUUUAUUUACUUAUUGAUGUUAUUGAAAUAAAGUUGAUGAUAUGACUGAAAUAAAAUUAUUUUGUAAUAGAUCAAUCCUAUAAGAAAGAGAAUGUGCGGUGGUUGAUGUCUACGACAACUAUUUCGACGCUCAAAUAAGUAAAUUAAGAAUAUGACGAAUAUAAAGAGUUUCUUAAAACUUAAGAGUUAUUGUGUAAGAAUUGGAUACCUUUUUCUCUGUAAUUGUUAGUUUUUAUACCGUAAGAAAUAAAGUCAAUUAUAGCAUUUAUUGAAAAUCCGACAAUGAUAUGGUUGUCGAUUAAUAAGUAAUCUCACUGGUUGAUUGAUCGAUGAUCCUGCGAUUACAUGCAUAAUGAAUAUCUACGAUAUAAUAUUUGCUAAUAGUAAUUUUAUGUGAAAGCUCGAUUUUUUUUAAAUAGGAUAAUUCUUGGUGGAGAAUUGGAUGCCACGUUUUGCGGAUCUCCCUUUACUCGAGUAGAACUGCCUACCGGUU